CAGUGAGUAAUUCCUAUGUGGGAGAGAGCAGUAAGCACAUUGGUGGGGCUGGAACAAGGCAGCAAGGAUGACUCACAAAUGAUACACCAAGGUCAUGAAGUAACCCAGCCACCAUGCAGGAAUAACCCAAUCUAGACCACCAGGAGAGAAACUGAAGCCCCCAGCCAAUAAGAAAGCAUCCACUGUCAGAUGUCUGAAUCCAAUCCUAACUGGCACUCAAUCCUUCAUGAUUCUACUCACAUUUUGUGAAGAAAGAAGUGGAUGCAGUGGUGGACAGAUUUCUGAAGUGAUUCCGAGACCUCUAAAUGGGCAGUAUGCAACAUAAUCUAAUGAGAGAAGACU